UUUAAAGAUAAUGAAAUGGUUUGUGGCUCAACAACUCUAUUACGGUCUAUGGAGGAAGGAGCAGCAUGCUGUAGCUUGAGAGCAUUAUGAGCAUUCUCAGUCUAGCGCAGCAAUUGUAGCUAACGAGCACAUUAUUUUGGCCCCCAUGUAGAAUAGGUCUUUCGGAACACUGCUUGAUCUUCUGCCUGCCUCAGAUUUUCUCUCUGAAUUCACCAUUCUUGGCAGCAAUACACAGAGCGAAAUCAUCCAGAGCGGAGAUCAUCACACCAGGGUCUGAAGUGCUCACAAAUUACUCCAAUAAAGUGCAGGCCACCCACUAGCCCUUUGGGUGAAAUCAAAGGACAAAGUUAUUAGCCGAAGAGUCUGGUUCUCCAGUUAGCUUGCUUUUAAUUAAAAUAAUGUGAAAAUGGAACUGGUGAUUUAUGGAGGCGGAAAUUACUACUGGGCACCUUGGGAUACUCUUGGAGAUAAAGACUCUCUCUGCUGUUAUCAAGAGAGAUAGAAACAGAGCUGCUAUGGUGUAAGGCAUAGAGAAGAAGAGGCUUGGAACAUGCUGAAUUCACAGACCAAACUAUGGACAUCUGAAAGGAAGACUUAUGGUCUAGGCAUUUCCUCCUCCUCUUGUUCCAUGGUGAUCUAGAAGAGAAGGCUGCGAGCCAGUGCCUGAGAAACUGGGUGCUUCAGCCUGACAUGCCUGACCUCAGCAAAGCCAGGAAACAAUUUAGGGAACGUGCCUUCAGAUUGAUCACCUCCUUCAUGAUUGACAGUGGAGUCAGGACACACAUAGUCUGCAUUAGUAGCAAUUACAACUGGUGAAAAAAAAUGUCAGUAGAACAAUUUUCCAUUGAAAAAUGCAGCUUUAUUGAAAUAAAA